GACGAACGCUGGCGGCGUGCUUAACACAUGCAAGUCGAACGGAAAGGCCCUGCUUUUGUGGGGUGCUCGAGUGGCGAACGGGUGAGUAACACGUGAGUAACCUGCCCUUGACUUUGGGAUAACUUCAGGAAACUGGGGCUAAUACCGGAUAGGAGCUCCUGCUGCAUGGUGGGGGUUGGAAAGUUUCGGCGGUUGGGGAUGGACUCGCGGCUUAUCAGCUUGUUGGUGGGGUAGUGGCUUACCAAGGCUUUGACGGGUAGCCGGCCUGAGAGGGUGACCGGCCACAUUGGGCCUGCGAUACGGCCCAGACUCCUACGGGAGGCAGCAGUGGGGAAUAUUGCACAAUGGGCGGAAGCCUGAUGCAGCAACGCCGCGUGCGGGAUGACGGCCUUCGGGUUGUAAACCGCUUUCGCCUGUAACGAAGCGUGAGUGACGGUAAUGGGUAAAGAAGCACCGGCUAACUACGUG
rnacentral:rRNA from 1 species